GAUGAAAAGGCGCGGCAAAAGAAGCGGGAAAAUUAGACUUGGCCUAAGAAGUUUAAAGAAGUUUUAAGCGCUAGUGAUGUCUUCGCCGAAGCCAAGUUCGAGCCGACCCGAGAUCAACAGUGGCCUUUCAUCUGCAAAAAAGAAAACCAAGCGCUCCAAGGAGAAGUAUUGCUACAUUGAAGACAGCAAGAGGCGUGCCAUCACACUCUCUAAGAGAAAGGCAACUCUUUUUCAGAAUUUGAUGAAAUUAAAUAUUAUGUCUGGGGCAGAUGCAUUAAUGAUAAUUGAAACCCCACGGAAACGAUUUGUGUGGGGAUCAGAUAAA